UACAGAGGGUGCAAGCGUUAAUCGGAAUUACUGGGUGUAAAGCGUGCGUAGACGGUUACAUAAGUCAGAUGUGAAAGCCCCGGGCUCAACCUGGGAAUUGCAUUUGAGACUGUGUAGCUAGGGUGCGGAAGAGGGAAGCGGAAUUUCCGGUGUAGCGGUGAAAUGCGUAGAUAUCGGAAGGAACACCAGUGGCGAAAGCGGCUUCCUGGUCCAGCACCGACGUUCAGGCACGAAAGCGUGGGGAGCAAACAGG
rnacentral:rRNA from 1 species